rnacentral:rRNA from 1 species
GGUGACUCUGAAUAACUCAGCUGAUCGCACGGUCUCGCGCCGGCGACAUAUCUUUCAAGUGUCUGCCUUAUCAACUGUCGAUGGUAGUUUAUGUGACUACCAUGGUUGUAACGGGUAACGGAGAAUCAGGGUUCGACUCCGGAGAGGGAGCCUGAGAAACGGCUACCACUUCC